UGGGGAAUAUUGGACAAUGGGGGGAACCCUGAUCCAGCAAUGCCGCGUGUGUGAAGAAGGCCUGAGGGUUGUAAAGCACUUUCAGAGGGGAGGAGGACUAUUAGGUUAAGAGCUAGAUAGUUGGACGUUACCCUCAGAAGCAGCACCGGCUAACUACGUGCCAGCAGCCGCGGUAAUACGUAGGGACCAAGCGUUGUUCGGAUUUACUGGGCGUAAAGGGCGCGUAGGCGGCAAUUCAAGUCAUCUGUGAAAUCUCCGGGCUUAACUCGGAACGGUCAGAUGAUACUGCUUUGCUAGAGUGCAGAAGGGGCAAUCGGAAUUCUUGGUGUAGCGGUGAAAUGCGUAGAUAUCAAGAGGAACACCUGAGGUGAAGACGGGUUGCUGGGCUGACACUGACGCUGAGGCGCGAAAGCCAGGGGAGCAAACGGGAUUAGAUACCCCAGUAGUCCCUGAGCGGGCUGGCAAGGCGCAU
rnacentral:rRNA from 1 species